AUUCCAAUCGAACUCGGAGAUAGCUGGUUCUCCCCGAAAUAGCUUUAGGGCUAGCCUCAUAUUAGAUACCCGGAGGUAAAGCACUGAAUGGCCUAGCGCCCGAGAGGGUAGCGAAGCCUAUCAAACUAAGAAUGCCGGAGUAUUGAUGUAUGGGAGUCAGACAGUGUGAGAUAAAUCUCAUUGUCAAAAGGGAAACAGCCCAGAUCUACAGCUAAGGUCCCAAAUUGUAUCUAAGUGGAAAACGAUGUGGAAAUACGCAGACAACCAGGAUGUUGGCUCAGAAGCAGCCACUCAUUUAAAGAGUGCGUAAUAGCUCACUGGUCGAGCGUCUCUGCGCGGAAAAUUUAACGGGGCUAAGAUACAAACCGAAGCUUAGGCUGCACGAAAGUGCGGGGUAGGGGAGCGUUGUGUAAGCGGAGAAACAGUAGCGUAAGCGGCUGUGGAGUUUACAGAAGUGAGAAUGCCGGAAUGAGUAGCGCGAAUGUGGUGAGAAUCCACAUGGCCGGAAACCUCAGGUUUUUGGAGGAAGGUUCGUCCGCUCCAAGUUAGGCGGGAGCUAAGGUGAGGCCGAAAGGCGUAGCCGAUGCACAGACGGUAGAGAUUCCGUCACCACCAAAAGAGUUAAGCACAGGGACACAUAUGAAGUCUCGGAGCCGGGUGUUGGUUCCGGUAGCGAUCGAGGGAAGUUAGUACCGAAGUCCGGGAUGGAAGAUGGCGAGAAAAGCUGUGUGUAUUUCUGCGGUGCCCGUACCGCAAACCGACACAGGUAGGUAGGAAGAAGAUUCUAAGGCCAACGGGAGAAGGGUUGUUAAGGAACUCGGCAAAUUGACCCCGUAACUUCGGGAGAAGGGGUGCUCCAGAGAUGGAGCCGCAGAGAAUCGGCCCAAGCAACUGUUUACCAAAAACACAGGUUUGUGCUAAAUCGAAAGAUGACGUAUACGAGCUGACGCCUGCCCGGUGCUGGAAGGUUAAGAGGAGAUGUGCAAGCAUUGAAUCGAAGCCCCAGUGAACGGCGGCCGUAACUAUAACGGUCCUAAGGUAGCGAAAUUCCUUGUCGGGUAAGUUCCGACCUGCACGAAAGGUGUAAUGAUCUGAGCGCUGUCUUGGCGGGAGGCCUGGUGAAAUUGUAUUACCGGUGAAGAUACCGGUUACCUGCAGUAGGACGGAAAGACCCCAUGGAGCUUUACUGUAGCUUGGUAUUGGGUUUUGGUGUCGUAUGUAUAGGAUAGUUGGGAGGCUGUGAUGUAUGGACGCUAGUUCAUGCGGAGCCGCUGGUGGAAUACCAACCAUACUACACUAGAAUUCUAAUUUGAGGUUUGUAGCCUCGAAGACAGUGCUAGGUGGGCAGUUUGACUGGGGCGGUCGCCUCCGAAAGAGUAACGGAGGCGCCCAAAGGUUCCCUCAGGUUGGAUGGAAAUCAACCGCAGAGUGUAAUGGCAGAAGGGAGCUUGACUGCGAGACUGACGGGUCGAGCAGGUGCGAAAGCAGGGCAUAGUGAUCCGGCGAUUCCGAAUGGAAGGGUCGUCGCUCAACGGAUAAAAGCUACCCUGGGGAUAACAGGCUGAUUUUGCCCGAGAGUCCAUAUCGACGGCAAAGUUUGGCACCUCGAUGUCGGCUCAUCUCAUCCUGGGGCUGGAGAAGGUCCCAAGGGUUGGGCUGUUCGCCCAUUAAAGAGGUACGUGAGCUGGGUUCAGAACGUCGUGAGACAGUUCGGUCCCUAUCCACUGCAGGCGUAAGAGUAUUGCAAAGAUCUGUCCUUAGUACGAGAGGACCGGGAUGGACAAACCUCUGAUGUACCAGUUGUCACGCCAGUGGCACAGCUGGGUAGUCACGUUUGGAAUAGAUAACCGCUGAAAGCAUCUAAGCGGGAAACUGACUUUAAGAUAAGUACUCUAUAGACAACUUCGAGACUAGGAGUUUGAUAGGUUGGGAGUGUAAGAGCAGCAAUGUUUUUAGCGGACCAAUACUAAUAAGUCGGAAUCUUAAUCUU
rnacentral:rRNA from 1 species